AAAAUUUCUUUCAACUUUCAACAAGAGUUUGAAAAGAUUUUUAUUAAUUAAAGAAAAAAGUUGUUCGAUCCGGAUCGUUUUCGUGCUUUUCAAUUUUUAAUUAGCAAGAAAGAUUAUCACUGGGAACGUGAGUUUAAUUCGAAAAAGAGAUCAUAAGAGGGAAGUUGAAAGGCGACUUGUGUAAGACUUCGUUUCAGAUUAUUCUGCCGCUGCAGAUCUUCUUCUCUGGUUUUUUCAAAACGACAAAGUAAAAAUUUUAUUGCUUCGCGCACUUUGCCUCGUACUUUACCUCGUACUUCCACGUAAUCUUCUGCGUCUCGAAAGCGCAUCCCGUUAUGCGAAGUAUACCUUUUUAAGUAUCUUUCUGGAAUCCAGAAGUUGGAUAAGAAACGGAGGAAAAUAAGAAGUUGCUUUCCACGACGUUUUACCACGAGGUUGGACGGCUUUAACUCGUGACCGAGUCGAAGAAUGAUAAAUGGCGACACUUUUUUUCAAUUUUUUUCUUUUUUUCUUUUCUUCUUUUCUUUCUCGCCUUUGUUUCGCCUUGCCGUAUUCCUCUUUUGUGAAAUCCAGUUUUCCUCGAUUCGAGACGAGAAAAAAAAAGUUCCCUCCUAAGUUUUCCAGGUUUUUGAAGUAGCGAGAAAGUGUGUAUUUUUAUUCAAAAUCCGCCGUAAUUUCUUUCUUCCUCUCUGUUUUACAGAGAAACAAGUUGAGAGGAACUUGAAUGUAAAUUAAGAGGCAACGGGUGGAGGAAAAGUAACUAGUUUUCUCAACCGGUUAAUUCUUUCUCUUUCCAUCGAAUCACAAAUGAUCAAAAAAGAAUGGAAUGCUAGUGACUCUCAGAAUUACAAUGUAAAGUAUAAAAAAGUUCAUAUAUAGUGGGGAUAAUUUUAUGAACCAAUCACUAAUAUGCUAGUUAUAUUACCAGUCUUCUCUUUUAUCUUUUAUUAUCGAAUCAAUCGAUUGAAAAAUGGAAUGUUAAUUAUAGAUUUUCAGAAUUAGGAAAGUAUAACAGAAAAAAUAAAUCGAAUGGCCAAUAUUUCUGAUUCAUUAUAAUUGAGCGAAAUAAAAGAAAAAUAACUAGGAAUCAUAGAUUGCAAAGUGGUGAAGAUAGAGAAUAACUAGAAAGGCAAGUGUGUCUAUAAAUUGAAGUGGUGGGGAAAGUCGCUAAUUGAUUCGACAGAGGUUGUGUAGUUGGGUCUACGGCUAUCGAAGCGCCCCGAGCGGUCUUCUUCCGCAAAGUAUUCGAUUGAAAAGUUUCGUAUGGAACUUGAACCCAUACUCUCGCUUCUUGUCACCGCCUCUAUAGUUUGGGUGGUAACGUCAAAGUGAGCGACAAUGGCGAUUGUCGAUAAGUGGAAACUUGGUGGAAAUUGAUAGAAUUCUCUGAUCGACGUGCAAUUCAAGUUGAUAUAUUUGAUUUCAACGAAUAAAUGUUUUUUUAAAAUUCAUCGACAAUGAAAAAUAAAUUCGAAAAAUCUCGAAUUUCUCUUCGUCUCUUUCGAUGAUAUUAGCAUAGAUCGAUGCGAAAUAAUGUGAACAGUGUUUGGACAGGGAAGUUUCGAGGAAGUUUCGCAAUGGUUGGAGGGGAUCCGAUGGAAAAAGUUGGGACUUCUGUUCGCGGUACCGGUACUCGAGUAUUUGAUAAACGAUUCCUCUCUCUCUCUCUCUCUCUGGUCCGGUUUCUAUCAGAAACUUUCGUUUUUCGAGCAGAACACGGAACGAAUGGGAGUCGGUGGUGGUAACUCGACUAGGAAACUCGUGCAUUUGAUUCAUUUGCAUGCGUUCCACGUAUACGACAUACGAUUAGAUUUUCACUUGGAAUUUAAGACUCGAUUUACACAGACACCGAUCAUAAUGUCGUUAAAACUUGGUCACAUUAUAUUUUAAAGUGAUAAUCGAUUCUUUUCAAAAAUUCGAGGAUUUGGAGAUUUUUCUGGAGAACGUGAUUAAUUAAUUCCAAAGUUCGCUUCAAGUUUGCGUAUGUAAAAUUUGCAAUUUAUUUCCGCACGAUCCAAUCGAGUAUUCGAAAUGUGUACACGGAAAUGUGUGAAUUACAACGUGAAAAUCUCUCUUUUUUUUUAAAUAUUUAAUCUUUCAUAAAACUUAAUGAUUAAAUUGCACAAUUUUCUAGAUAUCCAUAGGAUAAGAAAUUGCGUUAAAAAAAGGAAGAUUAGACCUUGCUUUAGACGUUGAAAUAUUCAAUUUUCAUGAAACAAUCCUCCAACAUUUUUUCCAAUUUCAUCCGCCAUUUCGAGGCAAGGUUAUACCGGCUCGAAUUAAUCAUCACGAAAGAGGAUUGGAUAAAAAUCUCAUCCUCUCUGCCUAUGAAUCGCUGGUAGAACGAGAUCAACUUUGGAUUUAAACGAAAAGAUGAGGAUGAGGAAAAGAAGCUUCGUUGAAAAAUAAGUCCGCAAUAAAACGAAAUAAAUAUUAGUGAAGCAGAAUUUUCAUUUUAUGAAAAAUCAGCGGCUCGUAAAAUCCAAUAGAAACAGAUACAUCGAUGAGAGUUGGUUCUAGUCAAAUCCAAUUUAGGUUAGGGGCCGGAAGCAAGCAGUGGCUGGAUGAGCGUUUGCUAUGUAGAGGUAUCCGUCUAAUUGGCUAGACGUUGACGGGUCAGUACGCAUCAUAUCCGGUUCUCAGCCGAAGUCAAAGCCUGGAUAUAUACCGAUAAUCGAAUUAAGAGUGGGCGGAGUGUCAAAAGUGUAACGAAUGAACCAUUGAAUGGAGUUGAAACUGUCGAAAACACUUUUCCACCAUUGGCCGCCAAUAUACUUUUCAACGGGGGAUCAGAAAUUUUCGGUUGGACGGGGAUGGUACACGAAUAGCCAUCCGGAAACUUGCUUUUUCAAAUGUUUUUUUCCCUCCCUCCCCAAUUUUUUUUAUAACCGUGAUAGAAUAUCUGAAAUUAACGGAGUGUGCACGAUCAUUCGUUUGAAUCCAACAAUGUUGUUUGUUUAUAUUAAAAAUUUGUGGAAACAC